rnacentral:rRNA from 1 species
UACGAAGGGGGCUAGCGUUGCUCGGAAUCACUGGGCGUAAAGCGCACGUAGGCGGAUUGCUAAGUCAGGGGUGAAAUCCUGGAGCUCAACUCCAGAACUGCCCUUUGAUACUGACGAUCUUCGAGUCGGGAGAGGUGAGUGGAACUGCGAGUGUAGAGGUGAAAUUCGUAGAUAUUCGCAAGAACACCAGUGGCGAAGGCGGCUCACU